AUGAACGCUGGCGGCGUGCCUAAUACAUGCAAGUCGAGCGAACGGACGAGAAGCUUGCUUUUCUGAUGUUAGCGGCGGACGGGUGAGUAACACGUGGAUAACCUACCUAUAAGACUGGGAUAACUUCGGGAAACCGGAGCUAAUACCGGAUAAUAUUUUGAACCGCAUGGUUCAAAAGUGAAAGACGGUCUUGCUGUCACUUAUAGAUGGAUCCGCGCUGCAUUAGCUAGUUGGUAAGGUAACGGCUUACCAAGGCAACGAUGCAUAGCCGACCUGAGAGGGUGAUCGGCCACACUGGAACUGAGACACGUUCCAGACUCCUACGGGAGGCAGCAGUAGGGAAUCUUCCGCAAUGGGCGAAAGCCUGACGGAGCAACGCCGCGUGAGUGAUGAAGGUCUUCGGAUCGUAAAACUCUGUUAUUAGGGAAGAACAUAUGUGUAAGUAACUGUGCACAUCUUGACGGUACCUAAUCAGAAGGCCACGGCUAACUACGUG
rnacentral:rRNA from 1 species